GAGUGCACAAUAAAAUUUUAUGCAGUGGAACAAUUAAUAUAAAUUCUUUAUAAAUAUAUAUAUAAAUUCUAAUUACAUACAUAUAACUGAGGUCUGAAGUGGCUACAAAAUACAAAAACAAAACACAAAAGAAUGCAACUUCUUUCACUAUGCUAUUGGACUCAUCAGAGUGAGGAAACAAUCAUGCACUCAAUCUUGUGGAUCCACAAGAUCCUCAUAGACUUUCAAGAGUAAGUCAAGCCUGCGGUUCCUCAUUUU
rnacentral:lncRNA from 1 species